CAAGGCGACGAUCCCUAGCUGGUCUGAGAGGAUGACCAGCCACACUGGAACUGAGACACGGUCCAGACUCCUACGGGAGGCAGCAGUGGGGAAUAUUGCACAAUGGGCGCAAGCCUGAUGCAGCCAUGCCGCGUGUAUGAAGAAGGCCUUCGGGUUGUAAAGUACUUUCAGCGGGGAGGAAGGUGUUGUGGUUAAUAACCGCAGCAAUUGACGUUACCCGCAGAAGAAGCACCGGCUAACUCCGUGCCAGCAGCCGCGGUAAUACGGAGGGUGCAAGCGUUAAUCGGAAUUACUGGGCGUAAAGCGCACGCAGGCGGUCUGUCAAGUCGGAUGUGAAAUCCCCGGGCUCAACCUGGGAACUGCAUUCGAAACUGGCAGGCUUGAGUCUUGUAGAGGGGGGUAGAAUUCCAGGUGUAGCGGUGAAAUGCGUAGAGAUCUGGAGGAAUACCGGUGGCGAAGGCGGCCCCCUGGACAAAGACUGACGCUCAGGUGCGAAAGCGUGGGGAGCAAACAGGAU
rnacentral:rRNA from 2 species